rnacentral:rRNA from 1 species
UGAUCCUGGCUCAGGAUGAACGCUAGCUACAGGCUUAACACAUGCAAGUCGAGGGGCAGCAUGGUCUUAGCUUGCCAAGACUGAUGGCGACCGGCGCACGGGUGAGUAACACGUAUCCAACCUGCCGUCUACUCUUGGACAGCCUUCUGAAAGGAAGAUUAAAUCCAGGAUGGGAUCAUGAGUUCACAUGUCCGCAUGAUUAAAGGUAUUUUCCGGUAGACGAUGGGGA